rnacentral:rRNA from 1 species
UACAGAGGGUGCGAGCGUUGUCCGGAAUCACUGGGCGUAAAGGGCGCGUAGGCGGCUUGAUAAGCGUGCGGUGAAAGCCCGGGGCUCAACCCCGGGUCGGCCGUGCGAACUGUCGAGCUGGAGCACUGUAGAGGCAGGUGGAAUUCCGGGUGUAGCGGUGAAAUGCGCAGAUAUCGGGAGGAACACCGGUGGCGAAGGCGGUUCUCUGGGCCUGACCUGACGCUGAGGAGCGAAAGCGUGGGGAGCGAACAGG